CCUACGGGUGGCAGCAGUGAGGAAUAUUGGUCAAUGGACGAGAGUCUGAACCAGCCAAGUAGCGUGAAGGAUGACUGCCCUAUGGGUUGUAAACUUCUUUUAUAUGGGAAUAAAAUGUUCCACGUGUGGGAUUUUGUAUGUACCAUAUGAAUAAGGAUCGGCUAACUCCGUGCCAGCAGCCGCGGUAAUACGGAGGAUCCGAGCGUUCUCCGGAUUUAGUGGGUUUAAAGGGAGCGUAGGUGGCUUGUUAAGUCAGUUGUGAAGGUUUGCGGCUCAACCGUAAAAUUGCAGUUGAAACUGGCAGUCUUGAGUACAGUAGAGGUGGGCGGAAUUCGUGGUGUAGCGGUGAAAUGCUUAGAUAUCACGAAGAACUCCGGUUGCGAAGGCAGCUCACUGGACUGCAACUGACACUGAGGCUCGAAAGUGUGGGUAUCAAACAGGAUUAGAUACCCGUGUAGUC
rnacentral:rRNA from 1 species